CCGCCCGUAACAGAAACUUCCCUACUUUUCUGCCGCGAGAAGCCCUAGAAGAAUCUCUUAAUCCAUAAUUGGUGGCGGCGCCUUCCAUUCCAAAUCUCCGCCUAGUGCAGGGGCAGGGUUGAUGGAUCCGCGAUGGACUGCAAAAGCCUAUGAGAUCCGCAUGAAGGUCAUCUGCACCAAUCCCUGCCACACCGACAUCAUCUUCUCGCAAGGCAAGGAUCUUCUAGGACACGAGGCCUGUGGUUACGUUUCUCGGAUUUUGCCGCUGAUGAGUACGUGAAGGCGACCAGGGACAAAGGCAAAUGUAUAAGAUGUAAGAG